UUAAAUUAUACCAACUAUAAGCAGAAGCAAUUUAGAUUCUAGGGUUUGCAUUGCUUACACAGUAAUUUGGAUGCCCAAUAAGGCUACGAUAAUGUCCUUUUUAUACUAGUUCAUAGUAAUGGAAUAAAUAGUUAAAGUAAACGAAAUAAAAAUCCUAUGGAGUUAACCUCCGUUGGGUAACUCUGAUGAGGUCCGGGAGGUAACUUUUAUUCGCAACCCUCCUACUAUUCAGAAUCUGAAUCUUGAUCUU
rnacentral:lncRNA from 1 species